AAAAGCUUUGGUAUUAAGCAAAAUAUGUAAUAAAGUAAAAACUCCAACAGCCAUAACCGCUUGGAAAGAAGAAUUAAAUAUGGAAAUAAAUAUUAGGCAAUGGGGUUUCUCAUUGACAGACGCUUCGAAGUAUACACACUCGUUAAAUCUAUUAGAGACUCAUUUUAAAGUUCUAAAUAGAUGGUACUUAGUACCAGACAAAUUGAACAAAAUGUAUCCUUCAGCAAACCAUCUAUGUUGGAGAUGUGGUACAAACACAGGUACUUUUAAGCAUAUUUGGUGGG